UAUUCAGGGUUGGAUCGGACCUUUGCUGGUUUCUGCCGCGGUGAUAUUUCUAUUUCGUGAUUAUCACCGGGUAAAAAUACAGCAGAGGUCCGGUCCUUCCUU
rnacentral:pre_miRNA from 13 species